GGAAACUAAUGAAUAGUAUUUACGCUUUGUAAAUAUAUGAGUUUUUCUACAAAGAACAUCGUAUAACGAAAAUGUACCAUAGAAUUAGCGUGUAGUAUAAUGACAACUUUAUGGUUUCUUUUUUUAAUCGGGAUCCGCCCCAUUUUGUCCCUGACAGAGGCGGAUCUUAAGAGAAGUCUUUUGUCCUCCGCCGUGUAUGAUCCGUCUGUCAGACCACGGAUCAACGCCUCCCACGCCGUGCACGUCCAGCUGGAUGUCCACGUGGUUUACAUCGUUGGUUUGAAAGAAAAAGAAAGUGCCUUUGAUCAAGCCUGCUUCAUAUAUGUGAGUUGGAGAGACGAGUACUUGACGUGGAACACCAGUGACUACGAUGGCCUGGACAGUUUUGUCGUCCAACCGUCCGUAGUAUGGACCCCGGAUGUCACAGUGUAUGGGAGAUUGGAUAAACGUCUUGGUUUAGAAUUUGGUCAGGUGCGUGUGAAUUCUGAUGGCGUGGUCAACACAAAGUUUCUGGGACUGUUAACAACCCAGUGCGCCAUGAAUUCUGCACAUUUUCCCUUUGAUUACCAGCUCUGUGCCUUCUUACUGGGGUCAGAAAUCUACUCACCCAAAGAAGUCGCUAUGGAAAUAAAAUCUGUGGUACAGUUGGAGAGUUCAAAGAAUAAUCCUAACUGGAAUUUGGAUAACGUUCGCAAAAUUGCUGAACCCCCUAUUACUGGCAGGUUCAAUAUUGUCUUCAACGGAAGUCGCUGUAUCUGGGGGUUCUUUAUAUGGUACCGACUUUCAUGCACGCUGUCCUUAUCCUUAUCUCGUACAUUGUUCCGAGUGAAGCUGGAGAGAAGAUCUCCUUCGGAGUGUCUCUGUUCCUAUCCUUCAUGGUCGUCUUGUUGCAGCUGAACGGAGAUUUGCCUGAAAUGUCAACAGCUGUUCCUGCAUUGGAAAUUUUCUUCAUGCUCCACAUGACAAGCGGGGUUGUAUCCUUGGUAGUAUCCGCCAUUUCUGCUUACAUCACACACAAUAACAGUCAACAGACAGUAUCAGUAAACAAGGUCAAGGACGUAUCCACAGCAACCACCAAUGCGAAGAGAAGAUUUCCCAAUGUACGCCAGCGUUUCAGAGAUACAUCCUUUCUGAACAGAGCCGGUUUUGUCGUGUCUCUGUCUCUCAUAUUGGCAGCAAACUUCGUCAUGUUGAAUGCGAAACUGUCUUCUGGGUGUACGUAAAAAAAGAUUGAAGAAAUUAAUCUGUAGUACUUUACAAGCUAAUACUAAUGUCAAUAAAAGAAGAUUUGACUC
rnacentral:misc_RNA from 1 species